AUUGAACGCUGGCGGCAUGCCUUACACAUGCAAGUCGAACGGCAGCACGGGAGCAAUCCUGGUGGCGAGUGGCGAACGGGUGAGUAAAGCAUCGGAACGUGCCCAGUCGUGGGGGACAACGUAGCGAAAGCUACGCUAAUACCGCAUACGAUCUGUGGAUGAAAGCGGGGGACCGUAAGGCCUCGCGCGAUUGGAGCGGCCGAUGUCAGAUUAGGUAGUUGGUGAGGUAAAGGCUCACCAAGCCGACGAUCUGUAGCUGGUCUGAGAGGACGACCAGCCACACUGGGACUGAGACACGGCCCAGACUCCUACGGGAGGCAGCAGUGGGGAAUUUUGGACAAUGGGCGCAAGCCUGAUCCAGCAAUGCCGCGUGCAGGAUGAAGGCCUUCGGGUUGUAAACUGCUCUUGUACGGAGCGAAACGGCUUCCACUAAUACUGGGGGCUAAUGACGGUACCGUAAGAAUAAGCACCGGCUAACUACGUGCCAGCCGCCGCCGUAACAC
rnacentral:rRNA from 1 species